UGAAGACCUUGCCCGAUUAGCUGAGAGGUGGUGCAUGGCCGUCGUCAGUUCGUACUGUGAAGCAUCCUGUUAAGUCAGGCAACGAGCGAGACCCACGUCCACAGUUGCCAGCAUACCCUCCGGGGUGAUGGGUACACUGUGGAGACCGCCGCUGCUAAAGCGGAGGGAGGAGUGGGCAACGGUAGGUCAGUAUGCCCCGAAUCUCCCGGGCUACACGCGGGCUACAAUGGUUGGUACAAUGGGCAUCUACCCCGAAAGGGGAAGGAAAUCUCUUAAAGCCAAUCGUAGUUCGGAUUGAGGGCUGCAACUCGCCCUCAUGAAGCUGGAAUCCGUAGUAAUCGCGUUUCAACAGAACGCGGUGAAUACGUCCCUGCUCCUU
rnacentral:rRNA from 1 species